AGGGAGAGGAAAGAGAAAAAGGAAGGUGGAGGGAGCGAAAGAAAGAGAGAGGGAGAGGAAAGAGAAAAAGGAAUGUGGAGGGAGCGAAAGAAAGAGAGAGGGAGAGGAAAGAGAAAAAGGAAGGUGGAGGGAGCGAAAGAAAGAGAGGGAGAGGAAAGAGAAAAAGGUAGGAGUGAGAAACAGAGUGAAGUUUAUCAAAAGCAUGUCCAUUUCUCAUUUAGCACAUUUUCUACGCUUAUCUCCAGGCCCACUCUCCCAUCCCACUACUGCUGCAGCUCUCCCGCCUCGCGCACUGCCAUGCAGAGGUGGGCAAAAUCAAUUUUUGCAGAUACAUUCUUGCAAUUACAUCACUUACUCUGUUUAAGAUAAGAUGCAUGAAUUGGACUACUCUUGAAGCACCAGAUUGAAUUAUUCAUUUGGUUUACUCAACUCUGUCUCUCUCUUC
ensembl:lncRNA